GCAGCCACUCAUUCAAAGAGUGCGUAAUAGCUCACUGGUCGAGUGAUCCUGCGCCGAAGAUUGCCGGGGCAAAAGCUUUCGAACGAAGCUACGGCAUCAGUAAUGAUGGGUAGGGGAGCUGCCCAUACGGGUGGAAGAAUGACCGUAAGGACAUGUGGACAGUAUGGGAGUGGGAAUGUUGGCAUGAGUAGCGAGAUGUGGGUGGGAAUCCCACAGGCCGUAAACCCAAGGUUUCCAGGGGAAGGUUCGUCCGCCCUGGGUUAGUCGGGACCUAAGCUGAGGCCGAAAGGCGUAGGUGAUGGACAACAGGUUGAUAUUCCUGUACUACCGAUAACCGUUUGAGAGAAGGGAUGACACAGUAGGAUAAGCUAAGCACACUGUUGGUUAUGUGUGCCCAAGCAUUGAGGCAGUCAAAGUAGGCAAAUCCGCUUUGAUAAUGCUGGGAUGUGAUGGGGAGCGAAAUUUAGUAGCGAAGUAGCUGAUUUCACACUGUCAAGAAAAGUCUCUAUCGAGGUUAAAGGUACCCGUACCGCAAACCGACACAGGUGGGUGAGGAGAGUAUCCUAAGGCCAGCGAGAGAACUGUUGUUAAGGAACUCGGCAAAAUGACCCCGUAACUUAGGGAUAAGGGGUGCCACCAUCAGGUGGCCGCAGAGAAUAGGCCCAAGCGACUGUUUACCAAAAACAUAGGUUUCUGCUAAGUCGCAAGACGAUGUAUAGGAGCUGACGCCUGCCCGGUGCUGGAAGGUUAAGGGGAUCUGUUAGAGCAAUCGAAGCAGUGAACUUAAGCC
rnacentral:rRNA from 1 species